rnacentral:lncRNA from 1 species
AACCCACAAAACCCACACACUGUACGUGUGUGGAUCGACCAGGAACAAGAAAAACAAGGGCUCACCCUUGUUCUCACCAAAUUCACCAAAUCGACAAGGGAAAAUCGAUGAUUAUCAAUUGCAUGUGGUAGAAUUUCGAUCAGUUACCCAUAUCCAAUCAAGUGGCGUGAAGGAAGAAGGCUCAAGUGCUAAGAAAACGGAAGGUUCACAAGAUCGAGGUAAAUCCUCGACUUAGGCAAUUGGACGACUUGGAACGUGCACACAUGGUUUACGCCCGCUUCUCGCUUCCGUUGUUAAACCCUUUUUGAAUGGUCUAAGUCUUGGUCUUAUGUUAUCAAGUCUAGUUAGUAUGUUGUCAUUUUGUCGUAGGGUAAAAAUUUGUUAGAUGGAAAUCAUGUCGUGAUCAAUGUGGACUUGUUUGUUCGUUUUGGGUUUUUGUCAAAGAUGUUUAAUGUUUAAGUUUGGCGUGAAGGAAGAAGGCUCAAGUGCUAAGAAAACGGAAGGUUCACAAGAUCGAGGUAAAUCCUCGACUUAGGCAAUUGGACGACUUGGAACGUGCACACAUGGUUUACGCCCGCUUCUCGCUUCCGUUGUUAAACCCUUUUUGAAUGGUCUAAGUCUUGGUCUUAUGUUAUCAAGUCUAGUUAGUAUGUUGUCAUUUUGUCGUAGGGUAAAAAUUUGUUAGAUGGAAAUCAUGUCGUGAUCAAUGUGGACUUGUUUGUUCGUUUUGGGUUUUUGUCAAAGAUGUUUAAUGUUUAAGUUUGGUUUGUAAAACAGGUGGUUUAUGAUGUUAAACGAAUAGGUCAUGUCGAAAUUUCAAAAAUAUUUUCCUACUUAUUUAUACGUAAUCAAUAGUAAGAUUGGGGCGUAAC